CCUACGGGUGGCUGCAGUGGGGAAUAUUGCACAAUGGGGGAAACCCUGAUGCAGCGACGCCGCGUGAGUGAAGAAGUAUUUCGGUAUGUAAAGCUCUAUCAGCAGGGAAGAAAAUGAUGGUAGUUGAUGAAUCAGCAGCGGCUAAUUACGUGCCAGCAGCCGCGGUAGUACGUCGGGGGGAAGCGUUGUUCGGAGUUACUGGGUGUAGAGGGAGCGUAGACGGCGGUGCAAGUCGGAAGUGAAAGCCGAGGGCUCAACCAUGGUACUGCUUUGGAAACUGGAGAGCGUGAGUGCGGGAGGGGCAAGUGGAAUUCCUAGUGUAGCGGUGAAAUGCGUAGAUAUUAGGAGGAACACCAGUGGCGAAGGCGGCCUACUGGACCGUAACUGACGUUGAGGCUCGAAAGCGUGGGGAGCAAACAGGAUUAGAUACCCGAGUAGUC
rnacentral:rRNA from 1 species